AUUGAACGCUGGCGGCGUGCUUUGCACAUGCAAGUCGAACGGUAACAGGUUAAGCUGACGAGUGGCGAACGGGUGAGUAAUGCAUCGGAACGUGCCCGAUCGUGGGGGAUAACGCAGCGAGAGCUGCGCUAAUACCGCAUACGAUCUGAGGAUGAAAGCGGGGGACCGUAAGGCCUCGCGCGAUCGGAGCGGCCGAUAUCAGAUUAGGUAGUUGGUGGGGUAAAGACUCACAAAGCCAACGAUCAGUAGCUGGUCUGAGAGGACGACCAGCCACACUGGAACUGAGACACGGUCCAGACUCCUACGGGAGGCAGCAGUGGGGAAUUUUGGACAAUGGGCGAAAGCCUGAUCCAGCCAUUCCGCGUGAGUGAAGAAGGCCUUCGGGUUGUAAAGCUCUUUCGCAAGGGAAGAAAACUUAUCCUCUAACAUAGGGUGAGGUUGACGGUACCUUGAUAAGAAGCACCGGCUAACUACGUGCCAGCAGCCGCGGUAAUAC
rnacentral:rRNA from 1 species